AUGGGUGCAAGAAAUGCUAUCAUGUGCUUGGUGUUGAUUCUUGUAUUGUUCGCGGAUCAUGGCUCCGCAGGAUGCUGGGUGAAUAUCAAUGGCGGCCCACUCUGCAUAGGCUUUCUGUGCAAAGCGACUUGCUUGAUUGCGGAGAAGAUGUUUAAUUCCGUUCUCAAGGAGCACAGGUGCGAGGGGACACCGCUCAAUAGCGAAUGCAUGUGCUAUCUCUGCGACAAAUAG
rnacentral:rRNA from 1 species